GACGAACGCUGGCGGCGGGCUUAACACAUGCAAGUCGAGCGGAGCGGCGAACGGGGGAGUAAAGCGUGAGUAACUGCCACCCUCUCUGGGAAAACAGUUGGAAACGGCUGCUAAUACAGGAUAGUGGGGGAUGACUCGCGUCCUAUCAGCUUGUUGGUGGGGAAGUGGCCUACCAAGGGGACGACGGGCAGCAGGCCUGAGAGGGCGACCGGCCACAUUGGGCUGAGAUACGGCCCAAACUCCUACGGGAGGCAUCAGUGGGGAAUAUUGCACCAUGGGGGAAACCCUGAUGCAGCACCGCCGCGUGCGGGAUGACGGCCUUCGGGUUGUAAACCGCUUUCAGCCAUGACGCGGUAGUGGCAGAAGAAGCACCGGCUAACUACGUGCCAGCAGCCGCGGUAAUAC
rnacentral:rRNA from 1 species